rnacentral:rRNA from 1 species
UACGGAGGGUGCGAGCGUUGCUCGGAAUCACUGGGCGUAAAGCGUACGCAGGCUGUCUCGUAAGUCGGGUGUGAAAGCCCGGGGCUCAACCCCGGAAUUGCGCCCGAGACUGCGGGGCUUGAAUGCGGGAGAGGGAAGCGGAAUUCCUGGUGUAGAGGUGAAAUUCGUAGAUAUGUGGAGGAACACCGAUGGCGAAGGCAGCCCCCUGGGUCAACACUGACGCUCAUGCACGAAAGCGUGGGGAGCGAACAGG